rnacentral:sRNA from 1 species
UCGGUAAAAUCCAAGUGUUGAGUUCCGUCUUCACAAGAUUAGAUUUCAUACCUCAAGGAUGUUUCCAAGUUCCACCUCUUGGAAAAAUGUAUUCAUUUUGGUGAAAUCUAAGUGUUGAGCUCGCUCUUCACAAGACUAGAUUUCAUCCCUCAAGGAUUUUUUCAAGUUACACCUUUUGGAAAAAUAUAUUCAUUUCGGUGAAAUCUAAGUAUUGAGUUGGCUUUUCACAAGACUAGAUUGCAUCCCUCAAGGAUU